GACCCGAUGGCCGAGUGGUUUAGGCAUCCGUUCGGUAAACGGAGGGCGUUGGUUCGAUUCCAGCUCGGGCACU